UAACCCUUUUAUUCAUUCUCAAUAUCUCACAUAUAUUAUCUUUAAAUGAAUUGUUAUUCUUCAAUCAUCAGAUUUGCAAUAUUUCAAUACCAUCGCACUUAUUUUUUCUACAGAGAAAAGAAUUCUUUCUAACUAUAUACUUCCAGUUCAAAAUCAGUUUGGAAUCAAUGACCAUUCUUAUUCUCUCAUUUAUAUAACUCCUUAAAGUAAUCUUGAUUACCAGAUUCAUAUUUACUUGUUCAAAUACUUCCUUAUAUUCGUUUAAAAAGGCUCUUUCCAGUCAAGGACAAUCAAGGUCACUGACAUUUCAAGCAAGUACAUCAAGCUUAAUUUUUUACUUAGAUUUUUUCUCUGUCAAGUUCUGAUAAGGUGGUACACCUUUUUGCCUAGGCCUGUUCUUGUGUGUUCAAGGCAAUCAGCUGAUCAAAGGUUUUGUUUUUAGCCACUGGUGGAGACCAAGAUUAAGUCACCCAAACAAGUUUUGAAAUGGAAUAGACAAUCAUUUUGGGUUUUUGGGCAUUGGAUGGAGUUUAGUUUUGGUUUAUUUUUUUUGGAAAAUAUAUAGUUUUCCCGGUGCUAGGAAGUAGCUCCUUGUCGUACCUCAUCUUCAUACCUUCUGGUUGGUGAGAAGUACUUCCCCUAAGGUAGGGAAAACCGGAAGAUACCUUACUUGGCUCUCCCCGUAUCAACUACUGGAGUUUGGAGAAGCCACAGUCCUGCAUUUAGUAGAAGCGACAGGUUUUUAUUGUUAAAAUUUACAUUUACAAUCCUUUUGCCUAAUAUUUUUUUUCAACUUUAACAUUUUUAAUAACAUAGAUAACCUUAAAAAUCAUGUAAAUUCAACUCUUCUAAAAUCAAUUCACUUUAUCAUAUUAAAAAUUUUCUUUUCAACAAAUUUUAGGUCAUUUUCAUUAUUGUAUCUUUAUUUAAAAUAGUCCGGAGAUCAUAACCUACCCGGUAAGAUAAUGUGCACACUAUCGUAAGGUUAUUACCUCAUCUCUUUAAUAGUAUUUAUUUCAAUUCGUAAGUAUUGUCCGGUUCGUCAUUCUGAUCAGAUACGAAAUUGUCAACCAAUGUUGUAAUACUCUUUAAUAAUAAGUUUUUGUACAUGCAUAUUCAAAUCAACUAAUUGUCUUGGUAUAAUAAAUUCAAUCCAUUUUUAUACUGUAAUAUAUAGGUUAUAGACAGGAGCGUACUAGCCUAGUACGUCAGGUGUUAGCUAGUUUGUAUAAAUUGUAUAUAGGGUUAUAGGUAAUUUUUUUCCAUUAAACUGGUUGGUUGUACAUA